GACUGAGCGGCGGACGGGUGAGUAACGCGUGGGUAAUCUGCCUCAUACAGGGGAAUAACAGCUAGAAAUGGCUGCUAAUGCCGCAUAAGCGCACAGGACCGCAUGGUCUGGUGUGAAAAACUCCGGUGGUAUGAGAUGAACCCGCGUCUGAUUAGUUAGUUGGCAGGGUAACGGCCUACCAAGACGACGAUCAGUAGCCGGCCUGAGAGGGUGGACGGCCACAUUGGGACUGAGACACGGCCCAGACUCC
rnacentral:rRNA from 1 species